UACGAAGGGGGCUAGCGUUGCUCGGAAUCACUGGGCGUAAAGGGUGCGUAGGCGGGGCUUUAAGUCAGGGGUGAAAUCCUGGAGCUCAACUCCAGAACUGCCUUUGAUACUGAAAGUCUUGAGUAUGGGAGAGGUGAGUGGAACUGCGAGUGUAGAGGUGAAAUUCGUAGAUAUUCGCAAGAACACCAGUGGCGAAGGCGGCUCACUGGCCCAUUACUGACGCUGAGGCACGAAAGCGUGGGGAGCAAACAGG
rnacentral:rRNA from 1 species